rnacentral:rRNA from 1 species
CUAAGAAUCUUGCGCAAUGGGCGAAAGCCUGACGCAGCAAUUCCGCGUGGGGGACGAAGGCCCUCGGGUCGUAAACCCCUUUUGCGAGGGAAGAAGUUCUGACGGUACCUCGCGAAUAAGACACGGCUAACUACGUGCCAGCAGCCGCGGUAAUACGUAGGUGUCGAUCGUUGUCCGGAUCUAUUGGGCGUAAAGAGCCCGCAGGCGGCUUGCCAAGUUCGAGGUGAAAUCUCCCGGCUCAACCGGGAGGGUGCCUCGAAGACUGGGAGGCUUGAGGCAGGGAGAGGGAUGUGGAAUUCCCGGUGUAGUGGUGAAAUGCGUAGAUAUCGGGAGGAACACCGGUGGCGAAGGCGGCAUCCUGGCCCUGUCCUGACGCUCAGGGGCGAAAGCGUGGGGAGCAAA